AAGGAAGCUUGCUCCUUUGACGUUAGCGGCGGACGGGUGAGUAACACGUGGGUAACCUACCUAUAAGACUGGGAUAACUUCGGGAAACCGGAGCUAAUACCGGAUAAUAUUUCGAACCGCAUGGUUCGAUAGUGAAAGAUGGUUUUGCUAUCACUUAUAGAUGGACCCGCGCCGUAUUAGCUAGUUGGUAAGGUAACGGCUUACCAAGGCGACGAUACGUAGCCGACCUGAGAGGGUGAUCGGCCACACUGGAACUGAGACACGGUCCAGACUCCUACGGGAGGCAGCAGUAGGGAAUCUUCCGCAAUGGGCGAAAGCCUGACGGAGCAACGCCGCGUGAGUGAUGAAGGUCUUCGGAUCGUAAAACUCUGUUAUUAGGGAAGAACAUACGUGUAAGUAACUAUGCACGUCUUGACGGUACCUAAUCAGAAAGCCACGGCUAACUACGUGCCAGCAGCCGCGGUAAUACGUAGGUGGCAAGCGUUAUCCGGAAUUAUUGGGCGUAAAGCGCGCGUAGGCGGUUUUUUAAGUCUGAUGUGAAAGCCCACGGCUCAACCGUGGAGGGUCAUUGGAAACUGGAAAACUUGAGUGCAGAAGAGGAAAGUGGAAUUCCAUGUGUAGCGGUGAAAUGCGCAGAGAUAUGGAGGAACACCAGUGGCGAAGGCGACUUUCUGGUCUGUAACUGACGCUGAUGUGCGAAAGCGUGGGGAUCAAACAGGAUUAGAUACCCUGGUAGUCCACGCCGUAAACGAUGAGUGCUAAGUGUUAGGGGGUUUCCGCCCCUUAGUGCUGCAGCUAACGCAUUAAGCACUCCGCCUGGGGAGUACGACCGCAAGGUUGAAACUCAAAGGAAUUGACGGGGACCCGCACAAGCGGUGGAGCAUGUGGUUUAAUUCGAAGCAACGCGAAGAACCUUACCAAAUCUUGACAUCCUUUGACAACUCUAGAGAUAGAGCCUUCCCCUUCGGGGGACAAAGUGACAGGUGGUGCAUGGUUGUCGUCAGCUCGUGUCGUGAGAUGUUGGGUUAAGUCCCGCAACGAGCGCAACCCUUAAGCUUAGUUGCCAUCAUUAAGUUGGGCACUCUAAGUUGACUGCCGGUGACAAACCGGAGGAAGGUGGGGAUGACGUCAAAUCAUCAUGCCCCUUAUGAUUUGGGCUACACACGUGCUACAAUGGACAAUACAAAGGGCAGCGAAACCGCGAGGUCAAGCAAAUCCCAUAAAGUUGUUCUCAGUUCGGAUUGUAGUCUGCAACUCGACUACAUGAAGCUGGAAUCGCUAGUAAUCGUAGAUCAGCAUGCUACGGUGAAUACGUUCCCGGGUCUUGUACACACCGCCCGUCACACCACGAGAGUUUGUAACACCCGAAGCCGGUGGAGUAACCAUUUGGAGCUAGCCGU
rnacentral:rRNA from 1 species